rnacentral:lncRNA from 1 species
CACUCAAAUUCUGAAACUAAUCAGGUGAAAUAUAAACCCUUUUUGUCUCCUUCUUUAAUUGUAUGUUUUACUAUCCAUGUUUUACCCAAAAAAAUUGUAGGUUUACACUUUGCAAUCAAAUUUUGUAGUUGUGCUUUUUUCUUGCUUUUAUCCUAAUAAGCAAAAAAUCUAAUUAAUCCUAAUUAAAGGUGUUUUAAAAUUUAAAUAGAGAAAGUACCAUUGAGAUUUGAGAGAAAAUGAAUCGAUUGAUUUACUUCACAGUAUGAAUACACAGAGAGUUCGCUUGCUUUAUAUGCAGUAAUCUAACCAACUUGUUAACUAAGCUACUAUUCCCAGCAAAUCAAGCUAACCAAUCCCACUACUCAGCUUGUCUACUACAGAUCACAGAACCACUUGGGCUGAGCCGUAAUUCCAUGUCAUCAGUCUGUGCAACAACCUCAUUGAUCACUUGUUGUGCUGACUAUCGAACAACAGUGUGCCUCUUUAACAUAAUAGACUAAGCUCGUAUGCAUAGGAAUGGAUCUUUUAUUAUUGUCAUUAACUAUCUGUCCCUAAGGGUUUGGUUGAGUGAUUUAUUCCUUUAGUUGGCCCUCCCAAUCUUUUGGAUUGUUAUUGUCAUUAAAUAUCGGUCCCUAACUGCGUGAUGUAAGUACUUUCUAGAAGAUAUCUAAAUGGUAAAGCGACAUUACCAUUUCUAUAAAGGACUUUCAUUCUGUUCAGAUGCUCCUCUUGAACUCUGUAAUUCAGAUCCUAGCUAUAACUACUAGCUUUGAUUAAUUAAUUUCCUGUACUAGCUGAAACAGAUUUAUUUAUUUAAAUAAUUGUGUAUGUACUAAUUAUAAU